rnacentral:tRNA from 1 species
GCCGCCGUAGCUCAGCCCGGUUAGAGCGGCGGGCUGUUAACCCGUAGGUCCCGGGUUCGAAUCCCGGCGGCGGCG